rnacentral:misc_RNA from 1 species
AACUGAUACUACCUGCGGGAACCUGCGGAAGGAUCAUUAUAGAGUGAAUGGCUUUGGCCUAAUCUCUCCCCCCUUGUCUUUUUCUUACCAUGUUGCUUUGGUGGAUUAGCCCCCUAACAGGGCUUUGUCCGGGGAGGGAUAGUGGGUGUAAGCUCCAGUCCCGAAAGCCGGUGUCUGCCAGAGGCCUUUUUAAAUUCUUAUAGUUACAUGGUCUGAGUUGAAGAGGACAUAAUUUAUAAA